UGGGGAAUAUUGGACAAUGGGGGGAACCCUGAUCCAGCCAUGCCGCGUGUGUGAAGAAGGCCUUAUGGUUGUAAAGCACUUUAAGCGAGGAGGAGGCUCUUUUGGUUAAUACCCAAGAUGAGUGGACGUUACUCGCAGAAUAAGCACCGGCUAACUCUGUGCCAGCAGCCGCGGUAAUACAGAGGGUGCGAGCGUUAAUCGGAUUUACUGGGCGUAAAGCAUGCGUAGGCGGCUUUUUAAGUCGGAUGUGAAAUCCCCGAGCUUAACUUGGGAAUUGCAUUCAAUACUGGGAAGCUAGAGUAUGGGAGAGGAUGGUAGAAUUCCAGGUGUAGCGGUGAAAUGCGUAGAGAUCUGGAGGAAUACCGAUGGCGAAGGCAGCCAUCUGGCCUAAUACUGACGCUGAGGUACGAAAGCAUGGGGAGCAAACAGGAUUAGAUACCCUGGUAGUCCAUGCCGUAAACGAUGUCUACUAGCCGUUGGGGUCUUUGAGACUUUAGUGGCGCAGCUAACGCGAUAAGUAGACCGCCUGGGGAGUACGGUCGCAAGACUAAAACUCAAAGUGAA
rnacentral:rRNA from 1 species